rnacentral:tRNA from 1 species
GACCGCAAUGCAAGUGCCAAUCUAACACCUGAUUCCUAAUCAGGGGGUCGCAGGUUCAAGUCCUGCCGGGGUCGCCA